rnacentral:misc_RNA from 1 species
UUCUGCUGCAGGGAAUCAUGGUAAGAUCUUUAAUUAAUUAUGUAAAAACAUUUAUCGAAUUCUGGUGUUGAUGAUGAUCUUCAAGGAUGAACAUAUACCGUUUACUAAUUAGCAUUUCAAUUUCUCUUCUUGGUUUUGUUAUAUUCGAAGGUUUCCUCGUGAAAUUAAUUAGUUAGUUAAUGGUGUUUAUAUUCAGAAGUGUUGUUUUCAACUCCAUUGACUUUAUUAUUGUUAUUAUUAUCAUCACUAAUUCUUUUAAAUAUCGACCAACCUUUCACCCUUAAUUGACUCUCUAAUCCUAUCAUCAUUCUUAUAAUAUAGCCGCACUGUUAUAGCUAAUCCAAUCCUUUAACCCAUCAUUUAUGGGAGAACCUUUGGUGAUGAUAAAUGUUUCAGAUACUGAUGAAGGCUUUGAUCUGUGUUUGUAAUGCAGGUAGCUCAAUUCUGCCAGGG